UAGCCGUAAACGAUACUCGCUAGGUGUCGGCCACGGUGCGACCGUUGUCGGUGCCGUAGGGAAGCCGUGAAGCGAGCCACCUGGGAAGUACGGCCGCAAGGCUGAAACUUAAAGGAAUUGGCGGGGGGAGCACCACAACGGGUGGAGCCUGCGGUUUAAUUGGACUCAACGCCGGGAAGCUUACCGGAUAAGACAGCGGAAUGAUUGCCGGGCUGAAGACCCUGCAUGACCAGCUGAGAGGAGGUGCAUGGCGUAGACGUCU
rnacentral:rRNA from 1 species